rnacentral:rRNA from 1 species
AUUGAACGCUGGCGGCAUGCCUUACACAUGCAAGUCGAACGGUAACCUUGCUUCGGAUGCUGACGAGUGGCGAACGGGUGAGUAAUACAUCGGAACGUGCCCGAUCGUGGGGGAUAACGAAGCGAAAGCUUUGCUAAUACCGCAUAAGAUCUACGGAUGAAAGCAGGGGACCGCAAGGCCUUGCGCGAACGGAGCGGCCGAUGGCAGAUUAGGUAGUUGGUGGGAUAAAAGCUUACCAAGCCGACGAUCCGUAGCUGGUCUGAGAGGACGACCAGCCACGCUGGGACUGAGACACGGCCCAGACUCCUACGGGAGGCAGCAGUGGGGAAUUUUGGACAAUGGGCGAAAGCCUGAUCCAGCCAUGCCGCGUGCAGGAUGAAGGCCUUCGGGUUGUAAACUGCUUUUGUACGGAACGAAAAGACUCUUUCUAAUAAAGAGGGUCCAUGACGGUACCGUAAGAAUAAGCACCGGCUAACUACGUGCCAGCCGCCGCCGUAA